rnacentral:lncRNA from 1 species
CACCAACCCAUUUCUGGGACAUACUUUACCCUUUCUCCAUAUCUCUCCAUUUCAAUCCUCUCCCUUUCCCUGCUUCCAUAUCCCUAUUUCCCCCAAUCUACAUCCCAGCUCCCACUAUUACAUCUUUCUCCACACAGUGUGUUCUUGUUCGGGUAUGUCUUCGUUACUAUAACUACCCUCGUACCCGCGUUUGGCUCUUCCUCAGGUGUGCCACAGACACGACUCUGUCCCUGUUAUCAGAGUGAUGAUAGUUUUGAUCAUAUCCACAAUUUCUUGGGUUCCUCGAUGGGUGAUCACAUGUUUUGCAGCUGGUCGAUUACUCUAUUUCUAAUGCGGAUCAGGACUCUACUUCUGCCGAUCAUUGCGGAAUAGGAUGCUACUUUUGUCGAUCAUGCCUACCCCAAAUGUGGGAAGACUCCUGUGAUGGAUCCGUUAGCACAUGAGGAAGAACAGUUGCAACCAAGGAGGUUCGAGCGGUUACAGGUUCUGCAAAAUUUUCCACAUAGGAGGAUACAUUGGAGUUGUGACUGCCUUACCAAUCUACGGGAUAGAGGCAAGGUGCAUUUUGAUGGAAUGACAGAGUUUUUUUUUUUCAAGUAAAACUUCCCUAACUUCUGUUAUUAAAUUUUCUCACUUCCAAUUUCAUGAUACUUUAAGACGAUUUUCAAUUUUAUUUUAUGAAUUUAUGUGGACAUUAACUACUUAACUAGACUUUUAUUGCUCUUUACAAUUUUUAGAUCAAAAAAAUUUUGCAAGGAUUUUCAUUAAUUAUGUUCAUUAAUUAAUCUCUACAAUUACAUAAUCUGCACAAUUUGUUUUUUUUUUUUUCAAAUUCAUCAUUAUAAAAAAAAAAAUUAAUGUGCCACAGACACGACUCUGUCCCUAUUAUCAGAGUGAUGAUAGUUUUGAUCAUAUCCACAAUUUCUUGGGUUCCUCGAUGGGUUUAUCACAUGUUUUGCAGCUGGUCGAUUACUCUACUUCUAAUGCGGAUCAGGACUCUACUUUUGCCAAUCAUUGCGGAAUAGGAUGCUACUUUUGUCGAUCAGCCCUACUCCAAAUGUGGGAAGACUCCUGUGAUGGAUCCCUUAGUACAUGAGGAUGAACAGUUGCAACCAUAUAAAAAUUAAGUAUUUCAUAUAUAAUUCAUAUACUUCAUAUAAAGAAUUUAAGUAUUUCACAUUUGUAUUAACAA